ensembl:misc_RNA Metazoa_SRP Metazoan signal recognition particle RNA
GCCGGGCGUGGUGGCUCACGCCUGUAAUCUAAGCAGUUUGGAGGCCAAGGCAGGUGGAUCACCUGAGGUCGGGAGUUCAAGACCAGCCUGACCUACAUGGUGAAACCCUGUCUUAA